rnacentral:rRNA from 1 species
AGAUUGAACGCUGGCGGCAUGCCUUACACAUGCAAGUCGAACGCGAAAGCGGGGCAACCCGCAAGUAGAGUGGCGAACGGGUGAGUAACACAUCGGAACGUACCCAGUAGCGGGGGAUAACCUCUCGAAAGAGAAGCUAAUACCGCAUACGACCUACGGGUGAAAGAGGGGGAUCGCAAGACCUCUCACUAUUGGAGCGGCCGAUGUCGGAUUAGCUAGUUGGCGGGGUAACGGCCCACCAAGGCUACGAUCCGUAGCUGGUCUGAGAGGACGACCAGCCACACUGGAACUGAGACACGGUCCAGACUCCUACGGGAGGCAGCAGUGGGGAAUUUGGACAAUGGGCGCAAGCCUGAUCCAGCCAUGCCGCGUGAGUGAAGAAGGCCUUCGGGUUGUAAAGCUCUUUCGGCGGGACGAAACGGUCCGUGUUAACACCGUCGGACUAAUGACGUACCCGUAGAAGAAGCACGGCUAACUACGUGCCAAGCAAGCCGC